AAUGCACACACACACAGACUGACUCGUGUGCUCCUGCAUGGCUGCAUGGAGCCAAGCAAAACUCUAUAUAUUCAUUGAAGGCCAUAAAAAUAGCAGCAACUCAGAACUCUGCUGAGGACAUGUUGGGAGCAAGUCUGGCGGGAGAGGACUCAGGUACACCAGGGAAAGACCAGGUUACAGACACACUGCUGGUGUUCAGAGAUGACCAACAGACACUGAAGGCUAAGAGGAUGAGGCAAAUGAGACCACAUGAAUUUUCCUGUGAGCAAUGUUUGUGGAGUCAGGGGGAUACAAAGAAAAGGAUGCUUAAUGUCCCCUCACAUGGCAGUCCUGUGCAUGCAAGAAUGAGUGCAGUGUACAUUCCUGACAUUGUACACUGCCCUCAUUCCUGCAUGCACACAGAGUUUAUGUCACAGGUUCACAUCAACAGACAACAUGGAAUUCCACCAUUGGAGCCUUCUGGCUGAGCUGACAUAUCUAUAUCCUGGAAAUAUUUAGACCUCUCAUCCCAGCACUUACAGAAGACUUCAGAUAGGAAUUGAGAUGGAAUUAGACAGGAAAUGAAAAGACAGCAAUGCAGGAAACCAGGAUACAGCCCCUACCAUUAACUGAGAUGGUUGACAUUUGACAUGAGCUGGUCAGAAAAUUAUGACUUCCACUAAGGUGCCUCUGGGCCUGAGGCAGGGCAGGACUGCUAUAAAAGGCAGCCCAAGUCUCUGCUCUCUCAUCCACUUCUCUCACCUCCUCCUCCUCAGGAAUCAGGUGCAACUGUCACCCCGAGCCAUGUCCUGCUGCAAGCCCUGUGACCCUUGCUGCCAGCCCUGUGGCCCCUGCCCGCUGGCCAGCAGCUGCAAUGAGUGCUGUGUCAGGCAGUGCCAGAGCUCCCACGUUGUCAUUCAGCCACCUGCUGUGCUGGUGACCCUGCCUGGCCCCAUCCUCAGCUCCUCCCCACAGAACACCGCCGUGGGAUCCUCCACCUCUGCUGCUGUUGGCAGCAUCCUCAGCUGUCAGGGAGUGCCCAUCAGCUCUGGGUGCUUUGACAUCUCCUGCAUCACCAACUGCUCUGGUGGCAGCAGUUGUUGUCGUCCCUGCUAAAGAUGCUGCUGCCAGCGUCCUUGGGCAAGAACCUCCAAGACUUCAGAACAUGGUGCUGGAUUGAAACAGAAUUUUGGAACAAUGGAUUUAGACUUUUGUUGCUAUUAAUUUCAUCUUCUCCUCUCUCCUCCCUUCCUUUCCUUUCCCUUCCUUUUUACCAUCACCCAAUGCCAGCCUAGUUAAACUGUCUCCCCCCCCACCCCUUCCUCCCUCUAUCUGCUGGCCAGGCCUUUGGACACACCCAUUGCAUCUUUGUAGUUGCUCCUGGUGCUGUCCCCUAUAUACCUGCUUUUUUCCUUUAGUCUCAAUAAAGUUUUUUGCAUUCAAA